rnacentral:rRNA from 1 species
CCUACGGGUGGCUGCAGUGAGGAAUAUUGGUCAAUGGGCGAGAGCCUGAACCAGCCAAGUCGCGUGAAGGAUGAAGGAUCUAUGGUUUGUAAACUUCUUUUAUAUGGGAAUAAAGUGAGGAACGUGUUCCUUUUUGUAUGUACCAUAUGAAUAAGCAUCGGCUAACUCCGUGCCAGCAGCCGCGGUAAUACGGGGGAUGCGGGCGUUAUCCGGAUUUAUUGGGGUUAAAGGGUGCGUAGGCGGUCUGUUAAGUCAGCGGUAAAAGUCCGGGGCUCAACCCCGGCCCGCCGUUGAAACCGGCAGUCUCGAGUUGGAGAGAAGUAUGCGGAAUGCGCGGUGUAGCGGUGAAAUGCAUAGAUAUCGCGCAGAACCCCGAUUGCGAAGGCAGCAUGCCGGCUCCACACUGACGCUGAGGCACGAAAGCGUGGGUAUCGAACAGGAUUAGAUACCCUAGUAGUC